rnacentral:rRNA from 1 species
CGACGUGGGUAACCUGCCUCAUACAGGGGGAUAGCAGCUGGAAACGGCUGAUAAAACCGCAUAAGCGCACAGCAUCGCAUGAUGCAGUGUGAAAAACUCCGGUGGUAUGAGAUGGACCCGCGUCUGAUUAGCUAGUUGGUGAGGUAACGGCCCACCAAGGCGACGAUCAGUAGCCGGCCUGAGAGGGUGACCGGCCACAUUGGGACUGAGACACGGCCCAA